CAUAACUGACCUUUGUUUAUUUUUUCCAUGGCCCAGGCCGCUGAAGUUACUACUCAAGUGAACUCAUGGGUAGAGAAAGUCACGAGCGGUCGCAUCAAGGACAUUCUCCCCUCAGGAUCUAUUGACAAUACCACUAAACUUGUUCUUGCCAAUGCCCUUUAUUUCAAAGGAGCUUGGACAGAGCAGUUUGAUUCAUAUGGAACAAAAAACGACUACUUCUACCUUCUUGAUGGGAGCUCAGUUCAAACACCAUUCAUGUCCAGCAUGGAUGACCAAUACCUUUUGUCUUCUGAUGGGUUGAAGGUACUUAAGCUUCCUUACAAGCAAGGUGGGGACAAUAGGCAGUUCUCCAUGUAUAUCCUUCUUCCAGAAGCACCGGGUGGUCUCUCAAGCUUGGCCGAAAAAUUGAGUGCUGAACCAGACUUCCUGGAGCGGCAUAUCCCAAGGCAGAGGGUUGCACUUAGGCAAUUCAAGCUCCCCAAGUUCAAGAUAUCAUUUGGAAUUGAAGCAUCCGAUUUGCUCAAAUGUUUGGGCCUCCAGCUUCCAUUCGGCGAUGAAGCGGAUUUUUCGGAGAUGGUGGAUUCCCUAAUGCCACAAGGUCUUCGUGUCUCAUAUGUUUUCCACCAAGCGUUUGUGGAAGUGAACGAACAAGGAACUGAGGCUGCAGCAUCAACUACUAUUAAAAUGGUCCCGCAACAGGCAAGGCCGCCCUCGGUCAUGGAUUUCAUCGCGGAUCACCCUUUCCUCUUCCUUCUCCGGGAAGACAUCUCUGGUGUGGUCCUAUUCAUGGGUCAUGUGGUCAAUCCCCUCUUAUCUUCGUAAUGUGUUUGCUCUGAAAGUGUGUGUUGUCAGUUGCCCUCAGCCAUUACAUGUAAGGGAAGGGUUUCGACGGUCAGUCAUGUUACCGAUACAAUAAAUCCAAUAAAUGGUUCUCCUAAGAUAUCCAAUAAAUUGUCUUUUAAUAACUGCUUGCUUGUUGUGCAAAGGAAAACCAAUUGGACUAUUUUUCAUUAAUCAUUGUGGAUUUGUGGUAGUGCGGAUUUCUCAAAGAACUACUCAUGCCAAAAGAAAAAAUCUAAGUCAUCUUGAUUAGUACUAUCCGACAUGAAUCUCAUCGUCAUUAACAUCUAUAUUUCACAAAAAAAUGCCAAUGGCCACUUUUUGAGAUUGAAUAUGCUCUUCAAUUUCUCUUCUUCUUAGAUUUUUCAUAUCCUCGCUUAUCUUUAGAUACACUAUAACUCCUUGAGAUUGGAGCUCCCAGGGCCGAUUGUGUUGAUCGAUUUACAUGGCCCCACAUGAACGGACGUGACCUUCCACGCUACCCUCUUCCUUGCCGCAGAUCCUUCCUCAGUUUCUCUCCCUUCCGAGAAUCUAUUCCGACAUAGAGACAACGCCUCCAGCACUAUAGUUGGUGCGGCCGACCGCUUUCUGGCUCUCCUCUCCGAUUCCCUGCCUCAGAGCAUCUACAGCCUCAAACACGGUGUGUCUGCGGGCACUGAUCGGUCACUUCACAAAUUGGCAUCUACAUUCGUGUAUUUCAUAUCAGAUCUCCUAUAUCCAUACUAAACUAUGUAGCAUUGAUCAAACUACGUAUAUCAUCAAACGGACAAAAAAUGCACUAUACGUUCAUCAAAAGAUCAUCAACGGAUCUUCGAAAUACCGCCAAAGUUCACAUAGUGCACAUAAAUGACGGACAACUUUAAACUACGUCUAAAAACUGAGCGGAUCUUCAUCACUUCCUCGCCGGAACUUUCCCUUUUCGGUCGCCAGCACAGCUGUAGGCGUCGGCGGCUGGUGGAGGAUCGUCCGAGUCGUCGGACGAGGCGCCGUGGUCGUCACUAUCGUCAGAGGAGGAGCAGAGGAUGAUGAGGCGUUUGAGGCGCCGGACGGCCCGGUCCUGCUGCCGUUUGAGCUCCGCCAGCCGAGCCGCCUCCAAUGCUUUCUCCUCUGCCUCGCGCUCGAACUGCUCGAUGGCAAGCCGGAGCACCUUGGCGUUCUUCCAGCGGAGCUGCCGAUCAUCCGUCUCCGCUGUCGUAAGCGACCGGCAGUAGACCCAAGUGGGGAACCGCUCGUCCCCGUCGAGCUCCGCCGGAAACCCGCGGCGGCGGCGGACAUAUUACUCCUCCGCGUCCCUCUCCCUUGCCCGCUGCCUGCGGUGGCGGGCGUCGGACAGAUUUCUCCGCCGCGUCCCUCUUCCUUGCUCGCUGCCUGUCGUGGCGGGCGGCGCGCGCCUAGCGUGCAUGCCGCGCUCGCUGGGCGGGCACAAGUACCCACCGCUACCCAUGUGGGGGAGCAGCAGCCGACGAGGACAGGGGAUAGUGUGGGGGAGGCGCGGACUGCGCAGCCCUCGUGGCGCUGCGUGUGGGCCGGGAGGGGCCUGCGCCGGCGUCCUCGCUGCGCUGGAAGGGGAGAGGUGAGGCGGCAGAUCCGGAACUGACCUCCGUGUCCACCUUGGACCUCUCGACGGCAAUGCGGAGAGCCAGCACCUCGUCGAUGUUGACGUCAGAGUCGGAGCGGCUGCCGGAACUAGACAUGGUCGCCGGAGUCGUUUGACUGAAUCGAAUCUGGGAAAUCCGAGGAGGAGAAGAGAUGAAACGAGAGCGGAGCGAGGUAGGGUUUUCGAUUGGGGAUAUUUGUGGUGACGGCGUGGGGCCGGUGUGGACCGGGCUACCAUGGCGGACGCACCCGGGGCGCUCGAUAUCCGCCCUAGAUUUGAUCUGAAUAUGAGGGGAGUGAGACAGUCCAAGCAUUUGAGGCUUGUUUGAGGACACGUCUGGAUCAAAUUUUCAUGCUCGGUCAAUGAUCGCGCCAUCCGUCCGGACGUUUGAGACGGAUUUAGAAUGCGCGCCUGUAGAUGCUCUCGGCCUCAAUCUUUCGCCUCCAAACGUUCCCCCGCGACCAACCCAAUCCAGGCCUCGUUCACCGUCUAGCAGUCGUCUGCGCCGCCUCCCGCAAUUCCUCCGACCUCCGGUGCAACACUUCAUGUAACUUCCCUGGAUCAUCGCGCUUCCCGCGCCGUCUCGUCGACAGUCGACGUGCGCUUCUCAUGUUCAAUUUUUCAAGGAUAGUGUCACCGCUUUUUUCUCAUAGUGUUUGGCUGCUCGAUCACCUGGCCGCUGUUAAUCUCAUCUCGGUGAUGCAGCAAACAAAGGAGAGUGCGGGUCUGCAGUUCAAGGUCAGACUGCAGUGCAACUGUGCAAUGUAAGUUUGACUGACACGCUUGGAUCUGCCGCGUCUUUGUGCUGGGUGCUAGUCGCUGCCCUGCUAGAUGCAUGGAAGAGUUGCAUGUAUACACACCGGUGUUGAGCGUUGGUGGCCUCAUUGGUGACUGUCGUGGUUCUAAGUCUGACAAUAGAAUGGGGGGUAAGUAUGGAAAGGCAAGGUCCUAGCUAUGGAGUAGUUGUACACACGGGUGUUUAGCGAGUUUAGACCCUUCUCUGAGGAAGUAACAGCCCUACGUCUCGGAGCCCGGAGGCGGUCGACUGAUCUCUAUGUAUAUGAGUUACAGAAGUGCGAACCUUUCUACCAGUGGAGGGGGGUGGCUUAUAUAGAGGACGCCAGGACCCCAGCCAGCCCACAUAGAGGAGGGUUAAAGUACAUUAAGGCUGGGCGUUACUGGUAACGCCCUAUAUAAAGUGUCAUCAUGACCAUUAAGACUAUUUAAUUACAGACCGUUUGGAUGCAGAGUAGAUCCUGAACUUCCGAUAGUCGAGUGCGUCUUCAUGGUCGAGUGUCUUCUAGCUAGUCGGGUGGAGUCUCCCUUGGUAGAGUGGAGCUUCUUUUGGUCGACCGGAAGGUAGCUUCGUAUGAUAAUGUCCUUUGGCAUGGUAUCCUAGAUAGGUCCAUGACCCUAACCUAGGUACAUAACCUCAUCAUUAGCCCCCGAAUGGAUCGAGGUUCGAGUGAGGAAGGAGUUGACGAUUUUCUCCGACUUAUUUACUGUACUUUGAUUGUGUCGUAUCUUGGAUCGGCGAUUCUUCUUUCGGCGCUGGCGUCGACUUUUACUUCAGUCGCCUUGAUCCAUUCUUAUCUUUUGUCGAGUGAACUUUUGAACUCCGGUGAACUUACGAGCGACGGAUCGCGGGAAGGAUAUCGUCUGACAGAUUGAUCUGCUGUUAGCGGAUUUUGCGGGAUCUGAAAUUUGGGAAGCGCACGAAGCGGGGCAAUCCGCGGCAAUCGGGCGGGAUAAGGCAUGGACGCCUUGAUUUCCGCGUCGCCUUUUUCGCCACGUAUCGUACGUGUGCGACUGUUUCGGGAUGUGACAGAUCUGCUCGGACCCACUCGUCAGCCACUCGGAAGCGCCCUUAUAUAAAGCGUCGGGGAAGAGUUUUUGAACAGUGCCUCCCCAUUCUCCUCUCUUCCCUCUCUGCCUCCGCCCACGGCGCCUGCUCCUAGCUCCGCCUUAUCCACCUCUCGAGCGCUUCGCCGACGAUAAUGGUGAAGGAGAAGACGGCGGUUCUAGAGCGCGCGAAGAAGGUGACGGCGACGGGGCAAGCGAAGGGGAGACCGUCCAGUCGGGGCGGAUCUUCGUCGAGGUCCCGCCUGCCGAAGGGUUGGGUCCAAGGGGAUUGGAUCCGCUCGACCAUCACUGGGAAGGACCUCGACGACCUGGCCAAUGAGGGACUGAUCCCCCACGGGUCAGCAAGGCCCCCGGGGUCCGAGUGUCAACCGCAGCCGCAGGAGGGUGAGCGCGUUCUCUUAGCCACUCACGUAGAUCGUGGUUUUUCUCUGCCGCCGAGUGUGUUCUUCCGUGGGUUUCUGAAAUUCUUUGGGGCGCAACUCCACCAUUUCAAUCCCAAUUCCAUCGCCUAUCUUGCUGCCUUUGUGUCCAUGUGCGAGAACUUCCUGGGUUGUCGACCGCACUGGGGUCUCUUCAAGCACAUAUUCACCUGUCGGUCGCAGACCGUAAAAAAGGCGAGCUCGGGUGAUGAGAGGACCAAGGUUAUUCAGAUGUGCGGGGGUCUUGGGAUUCAGUUGAGGAAUAAGAGCACUUUCCCGGCCAUGACCCUUCCUGAGUCGGUCAGAGGGUGGCAGUCGACUUGAUUCUACUGCCAAGACGAGUCGACGCCGGGGCAGUCGACUGGUCUCCCUCCGUUCUCCAUGGACCGAGUGGUCAAACCGUCUUCUCUGAAGGUGCUUCCUGAGGAGAAAGCCGAGGUAAAAAUGUUGGUGGAGCGCAUGGUCCAACUCGUUCGGGACGGAGUGACGGGCAUGGAUCUUCUGAAAGUAUUCCUUAGGCGGCGCAUCCAACCGCUCCAGUAUCGAGGCCACCCGAUGUGGUUGUACUGCGGUACCGAAGACACCACUCGGGUCCAUCCAGAGGCAGUCGACGACGCCACGCUGGAGAGGUGGGUGACCUCCAUCACAGGGAACAAGGACAACCGUCGAGGAGUGAGGAGGAUCCCGCCACUCGACUGUACCUAUACGCCGGACAAGGUAUGGCCGCUUAUCUCCGAGUGUAAUUUUGUUUUAUCCAUUCUGCUUUGCCACAAAUUGGUCGAUUGAUCUUUGUUUUGCUCUGUUGUCUGAUAGGCCACCACUGAAUUGUACUCGAUUCCCAAUGGGGCGCAGACGCCGACUGAGGAGGAGGAAGGAAGCGGGGGCGAAAGCCCGGAGGAGUGGGAUUCAGAUGUCGACGACGACGAUGAGGGUGAUGACUCUAGUGAGGAGGAAGAAGAGGAGGAAGAGGAGGAAGUUGCACCUCCCCGCUCGGAAAGACGCUCGAAGCUUGCCCAUGAUCCAGCGACUGAGCGGGGUAAGGGGGUCGCAACCGCUUCUCAGUCGACCAAGCGCCCUCGGACCACUUCUCCGGCGCCGACUGAGAAGGCUCCGAAGCAAUCUCGAGUGGCACCGUCGAAGCCUGCAAAGGUCUUGCCGAAGAUGAAGAUGGUGAUCCCCACUAUCUCAGGGUAAUGGUAGUUUUGAGCUUUCCCUGUUUCAUGAACUUGUUCUUGGUCGACUCAUGGUCCAAUCGACUGACUUUUGGAACUGCAGCGUUGCUACUUCCGACACUUCGGCGAGAGCCGAAGACCACGAGAUGGAGGAUGCUGCAACCUCGAACCCUGGUAUGACUCCUGCGUUGCCGUUUUCAGUCGACUGACUCAUUGUCUCUAAUUUUUAUUCUUUCUGCAGUUUCAUCUAACAUUGUUAUUGACCUUCCUGACGACGACGAUGAAUAACCACCACGGCCGAGGAAAAGCAAGAAAACGUCGGCUGGCAAGGCGACUCAGGAUGUGCCGGCACCCGAGACGUUAGUCGUGGAGGGAGACAAUGUCACUCGACCCACCGUAACCUUCGCGGUGCCGUUGAUGAGUGCUCGCCCUUCAUCGUCGAGUGCUGCUCAACCCUCGCUUUUCUCCACCUACCCCGUUCCAGAAGACCAAGCCAGUGCUGCCAAAGAAGCGAUACGCCAGGCGGGGGUCAUGAUGGAGCAAGUGAAGGCAAUUCGAGAAGCCAGCCAGGCAGCCUAUGACGCCAGUUCGGCACUCCAGAGUAAUGUUCAGGUCAGUCGGUCACUGCCUGUUCUUCUUUCUGAAAUUCCUAGAGUCUGUCCUACACCCAGUGGGUGUGUGUCGAUUAAAAUUCCGGGUUAGUGGGGGCACGCUGAGUGCACCCACUGGGUGUAGUCCCCAAGGCUAUGGUGGACUGCUGGCAGUCGACCAUAGUCUUAAUGCUUUGAGUUUUUCUUUACUCGACAAGGUCGAAUAGAUUCAUAGACCGGUGGGGGCACGCUGAGUGCACCCACUGGGUGUAGUCCCCGAGACUGUGGUCGACUGCUGGCAGUUGACUAUAGUCUAAAGAACAUUGCCUCUCUUUUUUUUGUUGGUCGACUAGUCGACUCUUGAUGAAACUAGUGGGGGCACGCUGAGUGCACCCACUGGGUGUAGUCCCCGAGACUAUGGUCGAAUGUUUGCAUUCGACCGUAGUCUUAGAAACGCUAUGAUUUUUCCUUACUCACUCGGAAGUGAAUUUUCUUUGACGUCUGUCGAUUGAUUCUUCGUAGAAAUCAUGUGACCUUGUGGCUCGUUAUACUGAGUUGGAGAACAAACACAUUCAGCUCGAGCUCGAUCUGAAACUGGCCCAAGAGACCUUGACGAAGGCGAAGGAGGAAGCUAAAGGUAUGCUUGGUGAGGCCUUUGACGACUGCCUUUGCCUCUCACUUGUUUCCGAAUCUGAUCUCACUGUAACUUUGUAGGCAAAGUGAUGGACGCCCUGAAGAAACAAGAGCUUGACUUGGCUGAGAUGCAAAAGACUGCUUUAGAGAAGACCAGGCUAGCGGAUGAGAAGCUGGCUUCAGUGACUAAGCUUGAAGAAGAAAACACCAAUCUGAAAGCUGCUCUUGAUGCUGCCAACCAGGAGGUCACUUAACUGAAAAGCGACAAGACCACCCUGAAUGACAAGGCCAGUGAGUUGAAGAGAAAGAAGAAUGAUCUAGAGGCUUAUCUGGGUGGACUCGCCAAGAAGUUGUUCCUCAUGCUUGAAGGUAAUCCUUUGUAUCGAACAAAUAUUUUAAUUGUAACCUCUGACUGUUUGUCUUGACUCGGUGGUUGUGCUUGCAGAAUUUUGUCAGAACUUUGAAGAGGAGACUGGUCGACUGGAAGUGAACCUGGACCCCAUCAACUCUCCUGUGAAAGAUGAAGUUGCCAUGAACAUGCUCCGACUUGAAUCUCGUGUUGCUGCUAUCAUCGAUUAUCUCGCAAGGCUGAAGGUCGCAACUUCCUGCAUCGACACAACACUCUGGCCAAGAGAGACACUCCAGAACGACCUCGAGUCUCUGAUGACUCGACUGAACGAGGUCCCAAGUCGAGUGCAGGAGUGGAAGAAGUCUUCGGCCAGGUGUGGCGCGGAUGUUGCUCUAUCUCUGGUCCGCGUUCACUGCAAGGAUGCAUGAGAGGACAAGCUGGUGGCUCUCAGGGUGGCCAACACCAAGAAGCACGAUUUCAGAUCCUUCAUGGAGACCUUCAUUGCCGCUGCCACUCGGAUUGCAGAUGGAAUCGAUCUGGACGAGUUUGUGGCACCUUCCAGCCCUCCACAGGAGGGGUAAAAAACUUUUGAGCUUGAUACUUUAAAUUUGCCUCGGUAUGCCGAGUGAGUUUUGUAACCGACAAACCUUAACAGGCCUAGCGCCUGAGCACUUUCGGUUCCGCUAGGUGUUAUCCAAACUUGGGUUCGUCGCUGAAUAUGUUUGCAUUUGGUUUGAGGCGUCUUUUGCAGGUUAAAGCGAAGCGCUUAUUGCCAUCGACUUGUCCCCCAAUUCACUUAGGCGGGCACUGGGCUGCAGCUAAGUCCCCGAGCGAGAGGUUUUCCCUCCACUCGGUAGGAUUUCAGACACUUAGGCGAGCACUGGGCCGCAGCUAAGCCCCCGAGUGGGAGGUCUGCUCUCCACUCGGUAGGAUUUCAGAAACUUAGGCGAGCACUGGGCUGCAGCUAAGCCCCCGAGUGGGAGGUCUGCUCUCCACUCAGUAGGAUUUCAAACACUUAGGCGAGCACUGGGCUGCAGCUAAGCCCCCGAGUGGGAGGUCUGCUCUCCACUCGGUAGGAUUUCAGACACUUAGGCGAGCACUGGGCUGCAGCUAAGCCCCCGAGUGGGAGGUCUACUCUCCACUCGGUAGGAUUUCAGACNNNNNNNNNNNNNNNNNNNNNNNNNNNNNNNNNNNNNNNNNNNNNNNNNNNNNNNNNNNNNNNNNNNNNNNNNNNNNNNNNNNNNNNNNNNNNNNNNNNNNNNNNNNNNNNNNNNNNNNNNNNNNNNNNNNNNNNNNNNNNNNNNNNNNNNNNNNNNNNNNNNNNNNNNNNNNNNNNNNNNNNNNNNNNNNNNNNNNNNNNNNNNNNNNNNNNNNNNNNNNNNNNNNNNNNNNNNNNNNNNNNNNNNNNNNNNNNNNNNNNNNNNNNNNNNNNNNNNNNNNNNNNNNNNNNNNNNNNNNNNNNNNNNNNNNNNNNNNNNNNNNNNNNNNNNNNNNNNNNNNNNNNNNNNNNNNNNNNNNNNNNNNNNNNNNNNNNNNNNNNNNNNNNNNNNNNNNNNNNNUAAGCCCCCGAGUGGGAGGUCUGCUCUCCACUCGGUAGGAUUUCAGACACUUAGGCGAGCACUGGGCUGCAGCUAAGCCCCCGAGUGGGAGGUCUGCUCUCCACUCGGUAGGAUUUCAGAAACUUAGGCGAGCACUGGGCUGCAGCUAAGCCCCCGAGUGGGAGGUCUGCUCUCCACUCGGUAGGAUUUCAAACACUUAGGCGAGCACUGGGCUGCAGCUAAGCCCCCGAGUGGGAGGUCUGCUCUCCACUCGGUAGGAUUUUUGAAUUGGUGGCGCAACUCGGAAGGAGAGGGUAGCAGUCGACCUGCACCUCGUCCUCCUUGCGGAACGCAUGUUGUACUUGUACUUAGGCGAGUUCUUGGACUGCAGCUAGGCCUCCGAGUGGAAGGCUGGCUUACCACUCGGUAGGAUUUUAUUUAUCUUAGGCGAGUACUUGGACUGCAGCUAAGCCUCCGAGUGGAAGGCUGGCUUACCACUCGGUAGGAUUUUAUUUAUCUUAGGCGAGUACUUGGACUGCAGCUAAGCCUCCGAGUGGAAGGCUGGCUUACCACUCGGUAGGAUUUUAUUUAUCUUAGGCGAGUACUUGGACUGCAGCUAAGCCUCCGAGUGGAAGGCUGGCUUACCACUCAGUAGGAUUUUAUUUAUCUUAGGCGAAACGGAUUUUACAGCUAAGCCUUCGUGUGGGAGACUGACUCACCACUCGGUUAGGAUUUGUUUUUACAGACUUAGGCGAAUCGGAUUCGCAGCUAAGCCACCCACUGGGGGAUUGUUUUAUAUGGACAAAAGUAAUAACAAUCACUGGGAAAACUAUAAAGCUCUUGUCUUUGAUAAAUAAACUACAGGAGUACUUUUAUUACAACUCAUCCGAGUGAAUACCUAAGUGUAAAAGGGGCGGAGAAGCUCCGCGUUCCAAGCUCGGGGCUCGUCAAUCUGAUGCUUGACAUUGUAAAGACGGUAUGCUCCAUUGUGGAGAACCUUGGUGACCAUGAAGGGACCUUCCCAAGAAGGAGCAAGCUUGUGUGGUUUCUGCUGGUCCACUCGGAGAACUAAAUCUCCUUCCUGGAAGGCUCGACUCUUCAUGUUUUUGGCGUGGAAGCGACGCAAGUCUUGUUGAUAAAUGGUCGAUCUGAUCAGAGCCAUCUCUCUUUCUUCCUCUAAAAGGUCGACUGCGUCCUGCCGCGCUUGUUCUGCUUCAGCUUCGGUGUAGAGCUCGACUCGGGGAGCGUUGUGGAGAAGAUCACUCGGCAAGACUGCUUCAGCUCCGUAGACCAAGAAGAAUGGAGUUCUUCCAGUCGACCGGUUGGGUGUGGUCCUUAACCCCCAAAGCACCGAGGGAAGUUCGUCAACCCAUGCACCAGCCGCAUGCUUGAGAUCACGCAUCAAACGGGGCUUCAACCCUUUGAGAAUUAAACCGUUGGCUCAUUCUGCCUGUCCAUUCGUCUGCGGAUGGGCAACUGAAGCAUAGUCGACUCGCGUGCCUUGAGACGUGCAGAAAGCUCUGAAUUCUUCAGAAUCGAAGUUUGACCCGUUAUCAGUGAUGAUGUUGUGCGGGACUCCAUAUCUAAAUAUCAGUUCUCGGAUGAAGCUGACAGCGGUACCAGCAUCGAGGUUCUUGAUGGGUUUGGCCUUAAUCCACUUGGUAAACUUGUCGACUGCUACCAGCACAUGUGUGAAACCGCUUCUUCCUGUUCUCAAUGGGCCAACCAUAUCCAAACCCCAUACAACAAAGGGCCAGACAAGUGGUAUGGUCUUUAAGGCUGAGGCAGGCUUGUGUGACAUAUUGGAGUAAAAUUGACAUCCCUCACACUUGUCGACUAUCUCCUUCGCCAUUUCAUUCGCUCUGGGCCAAUAAAAACCAGCUCGGUAUGCUUUGGCCACGAUGGUCCGAGAAGACGCAUGAUGGCCACAGGUCCCCGAGUGGAUGUCAUUGAGAAUCAUUCGACCUUCCUCCGGUGUUAUGCAUUUCUGGCUGACUCCAGUCGCACUUUCUCUGUACAACUGACCUCUCAUGACGGUGAAGGCUUUGGACCGGCGGACGAUCUCUCGAGCUUCUUCUUCAUUCUCGGGGAGUUCCUUCCUCAAAAUAUAGGCGAUGUAGGGCACUGUCCAAUCGGGAGUGAUGACCAAAACUUCCAUGAUCAAGUCGACCACCGCUGGGACCUCGACUUCAGUCGGAUCUGUGGCGCUUUUAGGCUGCGGGGCUUCUGCAGUGAAAGGAUCCUCUUGAACCGAUGGCGUGUAGACAUGUUCCAAAAACACGCCACUCGGAAUGGCUUCCCUCUUGGAACCUAUCUUUGCCAAGUCAUCGGCUGCUUGAUUUUUCAGUCGGGGAACGUGAUGGAGUUCUAACCCUUCGAAUUUCUUUUCAAGCUUCCUCACUGCAUUGCAGUAUCUAGUCAUGGAUGGGCUUCUCACGUCCCACUCCUUCAUCACCUGAUUGACCACCAAAUCUGAGUCGCCGUAAACCAUAAGGCGACGGACGCUGAGUGAAAUGUCCAUGCGCAACCCAUACAACAGUGCUUCAUAUUCUGCUUCAUUGUUGGAGGAAUCAAAGUGGAUCUGGAGCACAUAUCUGAGCUUAUCUCCUCGGGGAGAAACCAAAACUACCCCAGCACCAGAACCAUUUAACAUCUUAGAGCCAUCAAAGAACAUGGUCCAAUGCUCCGAGUGAACUUGAGUCGGCUGCUGCUGUUCAAUCCACUCGGCAAGGAAAUCUGCUAUAGCCUGGGACUUAAUGGCUUUCUUUGCCUCGAAUUUGAUAUCAAGGGGAAGGAGUUCAAUCGCCCAUUUAGCCACUCGACCAGUUGCAUCUCUGUUGUGCAGAAUCUCCGACAAUGGUGCGUCGCUGACGACUAUAAUGUCAUGAUCAGAGAAAUAAUGAGCAACCUUCUUCAUGGUCAUGUAGAUCCCAUAUACGAGCUUCUGAUAAUGAGGAUAUCUUUGCUUCGAUCGGGUCAAAACUUUAGAGAGAUAAUACACUGGGCGCUGAACUUUGAAGGCUUUCCCUUCUACUUCCCGCUCGACCGUAAGUAUUGUACUGACGACUUGUCCUGUGGCUGCAAUAUAAAGCAACAGUGGCUCUUUACUGAUUGGAGCGGCAAGCACCGGCUAGGUGGAGAGCAGAGUUUUUAACUCGGCAAACGCUGCAUCAGCUUUUGGAGUCCACUCGAACUUGUCUGCCUUCUUCAUCAGUCGGUAAAGGGGCAACGCCUUUUCACCGAGGCGAGAGAUGAAUCGACUUAACGCGGCCAGGCAUCCAGUAAGCUUCUGGACAUCGUGCACACGCACAGGGCGUUUCAUUCGGAGUAUGGUGCCAACUUUUUCUGGGUUAGCAUCGAUUCCUCGUUCCGAAACGAGAAAACCGAGUAACUUCCCACCAGGUACUCCGAAUGUGCACUUUGAAGGAUUGAGCUUGAUAUCAUACCUCCUGAGAUUGGCAAAUGUUUCAGCUAAGUUAGUCAACAGGUCGGAACCCUUUCGCGACUUGACCACGAUAUCAUCCAUGUAUGCUUCCACAUUCCAACUAAUUUGAGUGAGUAAACACUUUUGAAUCAUUCUCAUGAAUGUGGCUCCGGCAUUCUUGAGGCCGAAAGGCAUGGUGAUAUAGCAGAAGCACCCGAAUGGGGUGAUGAAAGCUGUUUUGAUUUCAUCGGGCCCAUACAGACGGAUCUGAUGAUACCCGGAAUAAGCGUCCAGAAAAGACAAUCUCUCGCACCCUGCGGUCGAGUCGACAAUUUGGUCGACGCGAGGGAGAGGAAAAUGAUCUUUCGGGUAGGCCUGAUUGAUAUGUUUGAAAUCAAUGCACAUACGAAGGGAAUUGUCCUUUUUGCGAACCAUAACGACAUUGGCGAGCCACUCGGAGUGGUAUAUCUCUCGGAUGAACUCUGCUGCAAGGAGUCGAGCCACCUCUUCGCCAAUGGCUUUUUUGUUCUGAACAGCGGACCGUCGAAGAUGUUCUUUAACGAGUUUUGCCUUUGAAUCGACUCUAAGGCGAUGCUCAGCCAGUCCCCUGGGAACACCUGGCAUGUCAGCUGGCUUCCAUGCGAAGAUGUCCCAGUUCUCACGGAGGAACUGGAUGAGCGCUUCUUCCUAUUUAGAGUCGGGUGUAGUGGAAAUAUGGGUCGGAGCUGCAUUGGGGUCAGUCGGGUGGAUGUGAACUGGCUUCGUCUCACCGGACGACUGAAAUGCUGACUCUGUGGCGGGCUUCUUGGCUCGCAGUAAAUCACUCGGAUCUGCGUUCUUCUUGUACCCCUCUAGCUCUAUCACUGUUAUCUGGUCAUCCGCAAUCUUUGAGCCUUUCUGGAAACACUCUUCUGCUUUCUUCCGGUUACCAGUGACGGUGAUCACGCCUUUGGGGCCAGGCAUCUUUAACUUGAGGUACACGUAACAUGGUCGAUCCAUGAAGCGGGCGUAGGCUGGUCUUCCCAAGAUAGUGUGGUAGGCGCUCUGGAAAUCCACGAUUUCAAAUGUCAGCUUCUCUUUGCGGAAAUGCUUCGAGUCACCGAACACCACAUCCAGAGCUAUUUGGCCGAGUGACUCAGCCUUCUUUCCUGGGAUGACUCCGUGAAAACUCAUGUUGCUGGAACUGAGCCUGGACAUCGGAAUGCCCAUUCCCUUGAGCGUCUCUGCAUAUAGUAUGUUCAACCCGCUGCCGCCAUUCAUCAAUACCUUCGUCAGUCGAGUGCCUUCGACGACCGGGUCGGCCACCAGUGCUUGCCUCCCAGGGGUGGCAAUAUGAGUAGGAUGGUCCGACUGGUCGAAAGUAAUGGGAGUUUGCGACCAUCUCAGAUAGUUUGGUGUUGCUGGUGCGACCAUAUUGACUUCACGGUUGAUCACUUUCAGUCGACUUUUGCUCUCUACAUCAGCAAAAAUCAUCAGAGUGAAGUUGACAUGAGGGUACUCACCAUCACUGUCCUGCUUGUCCUCAGCCUUGUCUGACUCCUUCUCUUUGUCCUUCAGCUGUUUCCCUUGGAACUGCUGGAUUAAGAGCCGGCACUGGCGAGUGGUAUGCUUUGGGUAGAUGAAGUUACCCUCUUCGUCUUUCUUCGUGUGGAUAUGACACGGCAGGUCCAUCACAUCAUUACCCUCCUUAUCUUUUACCUUCUUGGGGUUCCAAGAUCCUUUGGGCUUCCCUUUAAAUUUGCCCUGUGUCACGGCUAGAGCCUCUCCAGGAGCUGCUGGCUCGGCCUUCCGCUUCUGCUUCCGACUGGAGUUUCCUUUAUCCGACUAACUCGGCUUGUACUUGCCGCUCCGGAGUCGGUCCUCUUCUUCGCCGUUGGCGUACUUGGUGGCUAUUUCCAUCAUCCGACUCAGGGUCAUGUCUCCAGUUCGACCAAACUUCAGGCUCAACUCUUUGUUCUUGACGCCAUCUUUGAAGGCGCAAACCGCUUGAUGGUCCGACACAUUCUCUACAGUGUGAUGCAAAGUGAUCCACCUCUGGAUGUAAUCCCUCAGUGUUUCACUCGACUUUUGUACACAAACUUGUAGCUCAGUUAAUCCAGCAGGUCGCUUGCAAGUUCCCUCAAACGUCCUGACGAACACUCGAGAAAGAUCUACCCAGGUGUAAAUGUUGCUGGGAGCUAACUGAUUCAACCAUGCCCUGGCUGAACCUCCUAGAAUAAGUGGCAAAUGUUUCAUGGCCACCUCAUCAUUACCGCCACCAAUCUGAACAGCCACUCGGUAGUCUUCGAGCCAAGUUUCAGGCUUAGACUCUCCGGUGAACUUAUUCACCCCAUUCGCCAACCUGAAGUUGGGGGGUAUCACUGCGGUUCUGAUCGCUCUGCGAAAACAUUCUGGACCUGAAACAUGGACUCGGCUGCUUGUGGGCACAUCUCUGUCAUGACCACCUCUAUGAGCUCUGUUUCAGUCGACCAAACCUUGCACGAUGAUGGAUCUCGCGUCAAAGCCUGGCUCUCUGGGGUCGACUGGAGCUCUCUGCCCAACACUGAGCUGGCUUCUAUCAUCUUGCUGCCGAUGGGCGUUAGACCCACUUCUCGGAGGAGGAGUGGGCACUCGACGCCUGUCAUCACGAUCAAAUCGAUCAUCAUAGUGGUCCCGCCGGCCUUCACGUCCCACGCGCCUCGGAGGCGACCUUGGACUGUCAGCUGACUGAAUAGUAUUCGCAGCAACAGAUCGACUGUGAAUCCUGUUAGGUGACUGUGACACAGCUGAAUUCUGAUCUCCUGCUGCCCGGAGCAAAUCUCUGAUCUGCAUCAAGCCUCUUCCAGCCUCUGACUGAGAGGGCUGAAUUGACUCUGCUAUGCGGGCUGCAGCUGCCAAAUUCUGAAUUGGGGUUCGAUAUACCUGAGUUGGUUGCGGAAAGAGCUGACGUCGAUUGGAGUUAGUCGCUCGUUGACGCGCAUGCUCGUCGAGUGCUCGCUGAAGGUUCUCCAGUCGAGUGUGUUCAGCCAGGUUGGCUAAACGCGCCUCUUCCAGGGCACGAGCCUCAGGAGUUUCUCCUGCAAUGGGAGUAUGCAGGGCAUCCAUGUUCUGGCGGCGAAGUUCUUCCCUCUGCUGGGAAGUGAGCGGCUCGGGUUGGUACUCUUCAUGGGCUUGAGCAGGGUCAUCCUCGUCGUCCAUCCCGUCGCCACGGGGGAAACCGGGAGGACUACGGGGCCCAUUGACCAUCAGGACCUCCGCCGUCGGAUCACUGCUAUCGCACUCGGAUGCAGCCUCUACAGAGCCAGUCGACAGGUCGAAUAGGCCGUAGAGAGAUCCGUCAGGCUCAAUCGCCGCGACUUGGGUGGUGGCCGAUUGGCGAGCCACUGCGUGUCUCACCCAUCGCUGGAGCCUCAACCGACCGGAGCGCUUGCGCUGGCGGGAGACAGGGAGGGAGGACGGCGCAGGAGUCGACCGGUAUGGGGUCGACGGCUGCCGCAGCAAGACGCUGCGGACACACACCCGAAAGUGCAUCGCCCCGCGGACGGGGAGCGCUCCGAUGUCGAGUGGUGCCUCCUGGAGCCAAGCGGAGUCGUCGGCGAUGAAAGUGAGCGCACCGAGACGGAUCUCGUGGCCCUCGACCAGAGCUCUGCCAGAAACCAUGAUGAAGGCGAUCGGACAAAUUGCAACUUCUCCAAAAAAGUCGCUAAGACACCUGCCCCACGGUGGGCGCCAACUGUCGUGGUUCUAAGUCUGACAGUAGAAUGGGGGGUAAGUAUGGAAAGGCAAGGUCCUAGCUAUGGAGUAGUUGUACACACGGGUGUUUAGCGAGUUCAGGCCCUUCUCUGAGGAAGUAACAGCCCUACGUCUCGGAGCCCGGAGGCGGUCGACUGAUCUCUGUGUAUAUGAGUUACAGGGGUGCGAAACUUUCUACCAGUGGAGGGGGGUGGCUUAUAUAGAGGACGCCAGGACCCCAGCCAGCCCACGUAGGGGGGGUAAAAGUACAUUAAGGCUGGGCGUUAUUGGUAACGCCCUACAUAAAGUGUCAUCAUGACCAUUAAGACUAUUUAAUUACAAACCGUUUGGAUGCAGAGUAGAUCCUGAACUUCCGAUAGUCGAGUGCGUCUUCAUGGUCGAGUGUCUUCUAGCCGGUCGAGUGGAGUCUCCCUUGGUCGAGUGGAGCUUCUUUUGGUCGACUGGAAGGUAGCUUCAUAUGAUAAUGUCCUUGGGCAUGGUAUCCUAGAUAGGUCCAUGACCCUACCCUAGGUACAUAACCUCAUCAGUGACCCCGUGGACGAAAAAGGUCUGAACAUUUUUCUGAUUUGCACACACCCUGUCGAUCCUGGACACACCAGAAAAGGCCAAUCUUUUUUAUUUAGCUGCCUAUGUUUUUACACAAAACUAUGAAGAACAUAGAGGGCAGCUUUGGGUCACGGAAAAAACUUAUACUGUGUGCAAAAGAAAUCAUGAUUUCAGCAGCACUGAAUAUGUACAGCAAAGGUCGAAACAAUUUAUCAAAAAAUGUGUCUGUGUUUCAUUCUUCCGCAAUACAAUAAGAAGUCCACCACUAAAGCUUUUUCCUCCUCCACAAGUAAAGUCCCUUAUCCUCCGGUCGGCGUCGCCGUCGGUCCGCCCCAUCUCUGAUGGCCUCUGGGCCAUGGAGUCGCCGAGGAUCCCAGCCCUUGUUCUCCUCCUUGUUAGAUUUAGCGUCUUGGUUGGGGUUGGGUGGAGGCGGCGAUGUCCCUUAAUAGGAAUAAUGUAUGAUUGGUUAUCUUUGUAAGUAUCUUCGAGUUAUCAGUUUGGUUUGGCCUACUAGAUUUAUCUUUCUUGCAAUGUUAGAAGUGCUUAGCUUUGGGUUCAAUCUUGCGGUGUCCUUUCCCAGUGACAGCAGGGGCAGCAAGGCACGUAUUGUAUUGUUGUCAUCGAGGAUAAAAAGAUGGGGUUUAUAUCAUAUUGCUUGAGUUUAUCCCUCUACAUCAUGUCAUCUUGCCUAAUGUGUUACUUUGUUCUUAUGAAUUUAAUACUCUAUAUGCAAGCUGGAUAGCGGUCAAUGUGUGGAGUAAUAGUAGUAAAUGCAGGCACGAGUCGGUCUACUUGUCGUGGACGUGAUGCCUUGAUACGUCUCCAACGUAUCUAUAAUUUUUUAUUGUUCCAUGCUAUUAUAUUACCCGUUUUGGAUGUUUAUGGACUUUACUUUACACUUUUAUAUUAUUUUUGGGACUAACCUACUAACCGGAGACCCAACCCGUAUUGCUGUUUUUUUUGCCUAUUUCAGUGUUUUGAAGAAAAGGAAUAUCAAACAGAGUCCAAACGGAAUGAAACCUUCAGGAGCGUGAGUUUUGGAACAAACGUGAUCCAAGGGACUUGGAGUGCAAGUCAAGAAGCAAUCGAGGCGGCCACCAGGGUGGAGGGCGCCCCCUAUCUCGUGGGCCCCUCGGGCGUCCACCGACCUACUUCUUCCUCCUAUAUAUACCCACGUACCACGAGAACAUCAAAGGCGACCACGAAAAACUAUUUCCACCACCGUAACCUUCUGUAUUCACGAGAUCCCAUCUUGGAGCCUUCGUCAUUGCUCCAUCGGAGAGGGAAUCAACCAUGGAGGGCUUCUACAUCAACACCAUAGCCUCUCCAAUUAGUUGUGAGUAGUUUACCACAGACCUUCGGGUCCAUAGUUAUUAGCUAGAUGGCUUCUUCUCUCUCUUUGAAUCUCAAUAUCAUGUUCUCCUCGAUCUUCUUGGAGAUCUAUACGGUGUAACUCUUUUUGCGAUGUGUUUGUCUCGAUCCGAUGAAUUGUGGGUUUAUGAUCAAGUUUAUCUAUGAGAAAUAUUUGAAUCUCCUCUGAAUUCUUUUAUGUGUGAUUAAGUUAUCUUUGCAAGUCUCUUCAAAUUAUCAGUUUGGUUUGGCCUACUAGAUUGAUCUUUCUUGCAAUGGGAGAAGUUCUUAGCUUUGGGUUCAAUCUUGCGGUGUCCUUUCCCAGUGACAGCAGGGGCAGCAAGGCAUGUAUUGUAUUGUUGUCAUCGAGGAUAAAAAGAUGGGGUUCAUAUCAUAUUGCAUGAGUUUAUCCCUCUACAUCAUGUCAUCUUUCUUAAUGCGUUACUCUGUUAUUUAUGAACUUAAUACUCUAGAUGCAUGCUGGAUAGCGGUCGAUGUGUGGAGUAAUAGUAGUAGAUGCAGGCAGGAGUCGGUCUACUUGUUAUGGACGUGAUGCCUAUAUACAUGAUCAUGCCUAGAUAAUCUCAUAAUUAUUUGCUUUUCUAUCAAUUGCUCGACAGUAAUUUGUUCACCCACCGUAAUACUUAUGCUAUCUUGAGAGAAGCCACUAGUGAAACCUAUGGCCCCCGGGUCUAUCUUUUAUCAUAUAAGCUUUCAAUCUACUUUUAUUUGCAUCUUUACUUUUCCAAUCUAUAUUAUAAAAUACCAAAAAUAUAUUUAUCUUAUCAUACUAUCUCUAUCAGAUCUCACUUUCGUAAGUGGCCGUGAAGGGAUUGACAACCCCGUUAUUGCGUUGGUUGCGAGUUCUUGUUUGUUUGUGUAGGUGCGUCGGACUUUUGAGGAGCCUCCUACUGGAUUGAUACCUUGGUUCUCAAAAACUGAGGGAAAUACUUACGCUACUAUUGUUGCAUCACCCUUUCCUCUUCAAAGAAAACCAACGCAAGCUCAAGACGUAGCAUGCCUAUAUACAUGAUCAUGCCUAGAUAUUCUCAUAACUAUGCACUUUUCUAUCAACUGCUCGACAGUAAUUUGUUCACCCGCCGUAAUAUUUAUGCUAUCUUGAGAGAAGCCACUAGUGAAACCUAUGGCCCCGGGUCUAUUUUCCAUCAUAUAAGUUUCCGAUCUACUUUAUUUAGCAAUCUUUACUUUUCAAUCUAUAUCAUAAAAAUACCAAAAAUAUUUAUCUUAUUAUUAUCUCUAUCAUAUCUCACUUUCGCAAGUGGCCGUGAAAAGAUUGACAACCCCUUUAUCGCGUUGGUUGCGAGGUUCUUGUUUGUUUAUGUAGGUACGAGGGACUUGCGUGUAGCCUCCUACUGGAUUGAUACCUUGGUUUUCAAAAGUUGAGGGAAAUACUUACGCUACUUUGCUGCAUCACCCUUUCCCGCUUCAAGGGAAAACCAACGCAGUGCUCAAGAGGUAGCAAGAAGGAUUUCUGGCGCCGUUGCCGGGGAGGUCUACGCACAAGUCAAGACAUACCAAGUACCCAUCACAAACUCUUCUCCUCGCAUUACAUUAUUUUCCAUUUGCCUCUUGUUUUCCUUUCCCCCACUUCACCCUUGCCGUUUUAUUCGCGCUCCCUUUCCCGUUCGCCUCUUUUUCCGCUUGCUUCUUGUGGUACUUGCUUUCACUAUGUCUGAAACUGGGGAGGUUAUCAUUGAUAAGGACAAUAGUAAUAACAUGGGAAACUUUGAUGCUUUUGAUGAUCCUACUGAAGAAACCACUAUCUUACAUACUAAAAGAUUUCGAAUCGGUAGUGGUAAUAUUAUUGGAAAAGGGGUUAUUCAAGAUUCUUUACUUGUGUUGGUGCUUUACCUUCUAUGGGUGGAUCUAUUCUUCAUAGAACUAGUAGUCUUGCGGAUGCUAUAUCCUUGCUUAUAGUUGAACUUGAAAGACAGUUUAUGCAUAUGCAUCCUUGCAUACAAAGGAUUUUUCUAGAAUUUUCCAAUAUUGAGCAUUCUUCUGUUAAGCGCGCAGCUACUAUCUUUUUGGCACAUGAGUUCAGAUUUAUAAUAAAAGAAGCCAGAGAAAUCUUUGCGCACUAUAGGGUGGACGCUGGUCGCCCUCCCAUUUAGGCGAUCCUUUUUAAUCAAGAAGACAUAAUGCGUUUACAAUCCUUAGAUCGUGUUGCUUUUAAUGAAAACCUUAGGAAAAAGGUUCCUACCGAUGUUCUAGUUGAUAGAAUCUCUGAACUUAAUGAUGAUUUUGCUAUUCAUAACAAUGGGUUGGGAUUUUCUCUUGAGCAAAGGCUCAUGACUUUUUGCCAAAAGAAUGCUUAUAAUGAUGAAUUGGUUGUGUAAUAUGAAGGGCCAAAGGAGGAACCCAUACCUCCCGAGCUUGAUCUUGGGGACUUUUGUCCCAUUAAAUUUAGCCCUUUUGAUUACUUUUGCUUGCCACAAAGAAAACUUGUUGUUGAACGUAGGGAAUAUGAGAUGAGUUUUCGUGAUUUACCUUAUCAUUACGGCAAUAAUUAGAUCUAUUCUCGCUUUUAUGCCUAGCUAGGGGCGUUAAACGAUAGCGCUUGUUGGGAGGCAACCCAAUUUUAUUUUUGUUCUUUACUUUUUGCUCCUGUUUAGUAUUAAAUAAUUCAUCUAGCCUCUGGUUAGAUGUGGUUUUAUGUUUUAGUUAGUGUUUGUGCCAAAUAGAACCUAUAGGAUCAUCUUGGGUGAUAGUUAAUUUGAUCUUGCUAAAAAACAGAAACUUUUGCGCACACGAGAAUAAUUUUAAUAAAUCACAGAAACAUGAUUUUGAGUUGAUUAUUUUUUAAGAAGAUUAAUAGACAAAUUUACUAGGACUUCCUAUUUUCGUAGGACUUUUAAGGUUCUAGAAGUAUUCGAAAGUUACAGAUUACUACAGACUGUUCUGUUUUUGACAGAUUCUGUUUUUUGUGUGUUGUUUGCUUAUUUUGAUGAAUCUAUGGCUAGUAUCGGGGGGUAUGAACCAUAGAUAAGUUGGAAUACUGCAGGUUUAACACCAAUAUAAAUAAAGAAUGAUUUCAUUACAGUACCUUAAAGUGGUGGUUUGCUUUUUUGCACUAACGGAGCUCAUGAGAUUUUUUGUUGAGUUUUGUGUUGUGAAGUUUUCAAGUUUUGGGUAAAGAUUUGAUGGAUUAUGGAAUAAGGAGUGGCAAGAGCCUAAGCUUGGGUAUGCUCAAGGCACCCCAAGAUAAAUUCAAGGACAACCAAAAGCCUAAGCUUGGGGAUGCCCCGGAAGGCAUCCCCUUGUCUUCAUCUAUCAGUAACUUUACUUGGAGCUAUAUUUUUAUUCACCACAUGAUAUGUGUUUUGCUUGGAGCGUCUUGAAUGAUAUGAGUCUUUGAUUUUUAGUUUACCACAAUCAUCCUUGCUGUACACACAUUUUGGGAGAGACACACAUGAAUCGGAAUUUAUUAGAAUACUCUAUGUGCUUCACUUAUAUCUUUUGAGCUAGAUAAUUUUGCUCUAGUGCUUCACUUAUAUCUUUUUAGAGCACGGCGGUGGUUUUAUUUUGUAGAAAUUAUUGAUCUCUCAUGCUUCACUUAUAUUAUUUUGAGAGUCUUUUAGAACAGCAUGGUAUUUGCUUUGGUUAUAAAAUUAGUCCUAAUAUGAUGGGCAUCCAAGUUGGGUAUAAUAAAAAUUGUCAUAGAAAGUGCAUGAAACACUAUAAGAAAUUUGAUACUUGAUAAUUGUUUUGAGAUAUAAAGGUGGUAAUGUUAGAGUCAUGCUAGUUGGGUAAUUAUGAAAUUGAGAAAUACUUGUGUUAAAGUUGGCAAGUCCCGUAGCAUGCACGUAUGGUAAACGUUGUGUGACAAAUGUGUUGCACGGGGUGUUCUUUUGAUUGCCUUCCUUAUGUGUGGAGGUCGGGAUCGCGCGAUGGUUAACUCCUACCAACCCUUCCCCUAGGAGCAUGCGUAGUAGUACUUUGCUUCGAGGGCUAAUAAACUUUUGCAAUAAGUAUAUGAGUUCUUUAUGACUAAUGUGAGCCCAUGGAUUAUACGCACUCUCACCCUUCCACCAUUGCUAGCCUCUCUUGUGCCGCGCAACUUUCGCCAGUAUCAUACACCCACCAUUUACCUUCCUCAAAACAGCCACCAUACCUACCUAUUAUGGAAUUUCUAUAGCCAUUCCAAGAUAUAUUGCCAUGCAACUCUCCACCGUUCCGUUUAUUAUGACACGCUCCAUCAUUGUCAUAUUGCUUUUGCAUGAUCAUGUAGUUGACAUCGUAUUUGUGGCAAAGCUACCGUUAUAAUUCUUUCAUACAUGUCACUCUUGAUUCAUUGCAUAUCCUGGUACACCGCUGGAGGCAUUCACAUAGAGUCAUAUUUUGUUCUAAGUAUUGACUUGUAAUUCUUGAGUUGUAAAUCAAUAAAAGUGUGAUGAUCUUCAUUAUUAGAGCAUUGUCCCAAGUGAGGAAAGGAUGAUGGAGACUAUGAUUCCCCCACAAGUCACUAUGAGACUCCGGACCUCAUGAUAAAUAAAAGAGGCCAAAGAAGCCCAAAUAAAAAAGAGAGGCCAAAGAAGCCCACCCAAAAAAAUGAGAGAAAAAGAGAGAAGGGACAUUGUUACUAUGCUUUUUCCAGACUUGUGCUUCAAAGUAGCACCAUGAUCCUCAUGGUAGAGUCUCCUAUGUUGUCACUUUCAUAUACUUGUGGGAAUUUUUCAUUAUAGAACUUGGCUUGUAUAUUACAAUGAUGGGCUUCCUCAAAAUGCCCUAGGUCUUUGUGAGUAAGCGAGUUGGAUGCACACCCACUUAGUUUCUUUUGUUGAGCUUUCACACAUUUAUAGCUCUAGUGCAUCUGUUGCAUGGCAAUCCCUACUCACUCACGUUGAUAUCUAUUAAUGGGCAUCUCCAUAGGCCGUUGAUACGCCUAGUCAAUGUGAGACUUUCUCCUUUUUUGUCUUCUCCACACAACCUCCAUCAUCAUAUUCUAUUCCACCCAUAGUGCUAUAUCCAUGGCUUACGCUCAUGUAUUGCGUGAGAGUUGAAAACGCUGAAGCGCGUUAAAAAGUAUGAACCAAUUGCUUGGCUGAAACCGGGGUUAUGCAUGAUGGGAGUAUUUUGUGUGACAAAAAUGAAGCAUAGCCUAACUAUAUGAUUUUGUAGGGAUAAGCUUUCUUUGGCUACAUUAUUUUGAUAAGACAUGAUUACUUGUUAGUAUGCUUAAAGUAUUACUAUUUUUAUGUUAAUAUGAACUUUUAUUUUGAAUCAUUUGGAUCUGAACAUUCAUGCCACAAUAAAGAAAAUUACAUUGAGAAAUAUGCUAGGUAGCAUUCCACAUCAAAAAUUCUGUUUUUAUCAUUUACCUACUCGAGGACGAGCAGGAAUUAAGCUUGGGGAUGCUUGAUACGUCUCCAAGGUAUCUAUAAUUUUUUAUUGUUCCAUGCUAUAUAUUACCCGUUUUGGAUAUUUAUGGGUUUUACUAUACACUUGUAUAUCAUUUUUUGGACUAACCUAUUAACCGGAGGCCCAGCCCAAAUUGUUGUUUUUGCCUAUUUCAGUGUUUCGCAGAAAAGGAAUAUCAAACGGAGUCCAAACGGAAUGAAACCUUCGGGAGAGUUAUUUUUAAAACAAACGCAAUCCAGGAGACUUGGAGUGGAUGUCAAGAAAAAAACAAGGCGGCCAUGAGGCAGGGAGGCGCGCCCUAGGGGGGUGGGCGCGCCCCCCACCCUCGUGGGCCCCUCGUGGCUCCUCUGACCGACUUUCUUCGCCUAUAUAUAUCUACAUACCCUGAAAACAUCCAGGAGCACCACGAAACCCUAUUUCCACAACCGCAACCUUCUGUACCCGUGAGAUCCCAUCUUGGAGCUUUUUCCGGCGCUCCGCCGGAGGGGGAAUCGAUCACGGGGGGCUUCUACAUCAACACCAUAGCCUCUCCGAUGAGUUGUGAGUAGUUUAUCACAGACCUUCGGGUCCAUAGUUAUUAGCUAGAUGGCUUCUUCUCUCUCUUGAAUCUCAAUACAAAGUUCUCCUCGAUCUUCUUGGAGAUCUAUUCGAUGUAAUUCUUUUUGCGAUGUGUUUGUGGAGAUCCAUGAAUUGUGGGUUUAUGAUCAAGUUUAUCCAUGAGAAAUAUUUGAAUCUCCUCUAAAUUCUUUUAUAUAUGAUUGGUUAUCUUUGCAAGUCUCUUCGAAUUAUCAGUUUGCUUUGGCCUACUAGAUUUAUCUUUUUUGCAAUGGGAGAAGUGCUUAGCUUUGGGUUCAAUCUUGCGGUGUCCUUUCCCAGUGACAGCAGGGGCAGCAAGGCACGUAUUGUAUUGUUGCCAUCGAGGAUAAAAAGAUGGGGUUUAUAUCAUAUUGCUUGAGUUUAUCCCUCUACAUUAUGUCAUCUUGCCUAAUGCGUUACUUUGUUCUUAUGAACUUAAUACUCUAGAUGCAUGCUGGAUAGCGGUCGAUAUGUGGAGUAAUAGUAGUAGAUGCAGGCAGCAAUCGGUCUACUUGUCGCGGACGUGAUGCCUAUAUACAUGAUCAUGCCUAGAUAUUCUCAUAACUAUGCACUUUUCUAUCAAUUGCUCGACAGUAAUUUGUUCACCACCGUAAUACGUAUGCUAUCUUGAGAGAAGCCACUAGUGAAACCUCUGGCCCACGGGUCUAUCUUUUAUCAUAUAAGCUUUCAAUCUACUUUUAUUUGCAUCUUUACUUUUCCAAUCUAUAUUAUAAAAAACCAAAAAUAUAUUUAUCUUAUCAUACUAUCUCUAUCAGAUCUCACUUUCGCAAGUGGCCGUGAAGGGAUUGACAACCCCUUUAGCGCAUUGGUUGCGAGGUUCUUGUUUGUUUGUGUAGGUACGAGGGACUUGCGCGUAGCCUCCUACUGGAUUAAUACCUUGGUUCUCAAAAGCUGAGGGAAAACUUACGCUACUUUGCUGCAUCACCCUUUCCUCUUCAAGGGAAAACCAACACAGGGCUCAAGUGGUAGCAAUGGGUUUUCCACUGAAUCUCACAUUCCAGGAUCCUAGCAUUUAUAGCAUGAAAUAUAAACUCUUAAUAAUGAACCUGGAAAUAUAAUAAUAUUAUAUUAUUGCCUCUAGGGCAUAUUUCCAAUAGUAUUCAACUUGCACUGAAGUCAAUAAUCUAGUUAGCACAUUUUUAUUUACACCAAUGGCAGUCUGGUGUUUGUCCAUACUCAGCUUGUGGUAUAGCCUUCAUCCCAUUGGAUCUUGAAAACUUCAUAUCCACGUGUAUCAUAUGCAUUUCAAUGCCUCUAUCAUGAUGGCUUUGUAUGUAUUGAAUCACUAGAAGGACCUAUGAUUCCUUGGACUGAGCUAUAGAACCACUAUUAAGUAUAGUGUUUCAUUGGCACAAUCAUCUAGAAAUCAUAACAAUCUCAUAAAUGAAAGUGUUAUUGAUCACUCUCCAUUGUUGCUUCUAAAGCAACAAUCUACUCAGCCCUCUGUUAUAGAUUUCACCACAGUAACCAACAACCCAACAAACACACUGCAAAAAACAUUACAUCGGAUAGAACUCCAAGAAGAUCGAGGAGAACAUUGUAUUGAAGAUCAAAGAGAGAAGAAGCCACUAGCUACUAGCUAUGGACUCGUAGGUCUGCGGUGAAUUGCUCACACAUCAUCGGAAGGCGGCACGGAUGAUGCAGAAGCCCUCAGUGAUCGAUUCCCCCUCCGGCGGAGUACCGGUAAAGCCCUCCAGAUGGAAUCGCGGAAGAAUAGAAGCUUGUGGUGGUGGAAAAAGUGUUUCGGAUGGCUCUCUGUUGGUUUGGGAAUAUUUGUGAAUUUAUAGGCUUGGAAUUAGGUCAAACGGAGUUGCGUGGGCCCAUAAGCUCAGGGGGCGCACUUUGUGAGCUCGUGGCUCUCUUGUAGCUCUUCUGGCCUCCUCCCGAACCUUCUAGGACCCCUUCUGGUCCAGAGAAAAUAACCAUAAUUCAUCGUAUUUGGACUUCGUUUGGUAUUGUUUUUCUGAAAAGCCAAAACAAGUAAAAAAUAGGAACUAGCACUGGGCAAUGGGUUAAUAGGUUAGUCCCAAAAGUGGUAUAAAAUAGCAUAAAAAUGCAUAUAAUCCAGGAUUGAUAAUAUAAUAGCAUGAAACAAUCAAAAGUUAUAGAUAUAUUGGAGACGUAUCAGCAUUCCCAAGCUUAAUUCCUGCUCGUCCUUGAGUAGGUAAAUGAGAAUAACAGAAUUUUUGUGUAUACAUGUAUUAUUUGUAGUGAGAUAUGUACAUGACAAAGAGCGAUACUACUGCCAGGAUCAGACCAAUGUACAUGACAUAAGAAAGAGGUGGCACAUCUCUGAAUGCAAGGUCCAUGGCAACAAGCAGACGCAAUGGAAAAGACAGAUUGUUUUGUCAUCUUUUGCAGCGCCAUCCUUUAGUAUGUCAGGGAGCAGCUAAGGAAUGAAAUCAUGCUCCAUUUUGGAUCAUAAGAUUUUAAUUUGACCAUAAGCUAAGCCUCCACCACACGAAAAGUGAUGAAAAUACAAAAUUUGUUAUGUGAUGCAAUACAAUGCAAAUCUUAUGUACUCCCUCUGUAAAGAAAUAUAAGAGCGUUUAGAUCAUUACUUUACACGUUACCAUCGUAAUCUCAAGCUUUGAAUUUAGUACUACUCAUUAAUCAAUUGUGUGAUCUUAAGAAAAUGCUAUACCUCUAAAAUGAACAACUAAAAGGUCAUGAGACACGUAGUGAUCUCCAAAUAAAUUGGUUGUUCUAGGGGAAAAGUGAUGAAAAGUGUUGUUCUAGGGGAAAAGUGAUGACAAGCAUGGAUUAUCUGUUUCGUCAUCUUGGGAGGGGGAGGGUCAUCCACAUGACCACAAGCCAAGCCCACACCCCACGUCAAGUGAUGCAAAUCCCAAUCAUGUCAUGUCAUGAUUUACAAUGCAAAUCUUCUUUAAAACUUUACACAUUGGCAUCACUAUCUUAAGCUUGGCAUUUGGUACUCCCUACGAUCCAUAUUUGUUGUCGCUCAAACGGAUGUAUCUAGCACUAAAAUACAUCUAGAUACAUCUGUUUCAGCGACAACUAAUAUGAAUCAAAGGGAAUACUACUAAUUAGUUGUGUGAUCUUAAUAAAACACCAUGCUUCUAAAAUGAACAGGUCACGAGGCGUGUACCAAUCUCCAGAUGAAUUUGAUGUUCUACAGAAUUCAUAUGUGCGGAAAGAUAAGACUGAAAACCGCACACUUACCCGGGAUAGGAUGGGAUAUUUUGAGAAAUAGAUAAGGAUUAGUUCAGGUUUCUCCCAUAUAUACGAAAUGACUGGACGAUGACUAAUUAAACGAGAGACAACAAACCACUUAUCUUCCUUUAUGACUCAAUUGAUCGAGAGCCUUCCCAAGUUGCUUUUGCGGUUUUGUUGGUCACAAUGCAGAUGCUUUGAACCUUUGCACAACCGUGGGCAUGUGGCUCCCGUUAAAUAGCCACAAGAUACCAUAAAAUUAGCACUUCCAAAGUUCCCAUUUACUCUCUCUUCCUCUCAAGUCUAACCAAAGCCCAACAAACCACCACCUCGGCCAUGGCAACCACCCUCGCCACCGACGUCCGCCUCUCCAUCGCGCACCAGACCCGCUUCGCCCUCCGUCUCGCCUCCACCAUCUCAUCCAACCCUAAGUCUGCUGCCAGCAAUGCCGCCUUCUCCCCGGUCUCCCUCUACUCCGCACUUAGCCUCCUCGCCGCUGGCGCGGGCAGUGCCACUCGGGACCAACUCGUCGCCACACUCGGGACAGGCAAGGUCGAGGGACUCCACGCGCUCGCCGAGCAGGUGGUCCAGUUUGUGCUCGCCGACGCGUCCUCCACUGGUGGUCCGCNNNNNNNNNNNNNNNNNNNNNNNNNNNNNNNNNNNNNNNNNNNNNNNNNNNNNNNNNNNNNNNNNNNNNNNNNNNNNNNNNNNNNNNNNNNNNNNNNNNNNNNNNNNNNNNNNNNNNNNNNNNNNNNNNNNNNNNNNNNNNNNNNNNNNNNNNNNNNNNNNNNNNNNNNNNNNNNNNNNNNNNNNNNNNNNNNNNNNNNNNNNNNNNNNNNNNNNNNNNNNNNNNNNNNNNNNNNNNNNNNNNNNNNNNNNNNNNNNNNNNNNNNNNNNNNAAUGUAAAAGAAUUUUUAACGGACAUAAUUAUGUACAUUUGAGAGAAACAAUGACAUGCUUAACUAACUACUUCAGCCGCCUGUACAUGUUGGCAUGCCACUGCUUCACUCAAAGUGUUUGUUUUCUGCUGAUGUAAUAUAGAGGUCUGUAUUAAUCUUAUACACAUUCUAGAUUUGUAAUUUAGUGGUUAUCGUAUACCACUGUUUUUUACACUAGAAGCUUCACCUUUGUAAGCAUAGUUCGCACCUGCUACCUUGAACUGUGAAUGAUUUUGCCUAUCCUGUUAGUCGGCAUGAUUGGAGAUAACUAGUCUGUUACUUUUCUGAGCAUACCUAAUCUUUUGGGAGUGUAAUUCUCAUACCGUGCUAUCUAGGGAUAUGAAGGCUGGGGAAUUUUCUGAUGUUUUAUACUUUAAUUACGCUCUUCAGCGAAGUGAGAUUAUAAUUUUGGGAGUAUUUCCUGGAAACUUUGUCUCCAACGUAAGAAGAUGUACAAAAAAAUCAGCUAAAGAUUAUAAUUUUGGGAAUAUUUCUGUAAAAGGUAUUGCAUAGUGGUGCUUCGAGAUGUUGUGAUGGCCAUUCAAAUUUGUAUGCUCAUAUGAAUUGUUUUUCUAUCAUACGUUGUUGUAUGUGCUGAUUUAUGUGUUUGAAAAUUUUACUAUAAAAAUGCUUUAUAAAAACACUAGUAUGCUGCUUUGCAUUCUUAGCACAACUAUUAUAUUUUGUUCUUUGAAAGAAUUUUCUAUUGGUUUGUUCAAAGGUUGGUGGCACAGCAGUACCGUCAAACUAUUUUCAUUACAUAAUUGACCUUUGUUUAUUUUUUCCAUGGCCCAGGCCGCUGAAGUUACUACUCAAGUGAAUUCAUGGGUAGAGAAAGUCACGAGCGGUCGCAUCAAGGACAUUCUCCCCCCAGGAUCUAUUGACAAUACCACUAAACUUGUUCUUGCCAAUGCCCUUUAUUUCAAAGGAGCUUGGACAGAGCAGUUUGAUUCAUAUGGAACAAAAAACGACUACUUCUACCUUCUUGAUGGGAGCUCAGUUCAAACACCAUUCAUGUCCAGCAUGGAUGACCAAUACCUUUUGUCUUCUGAUGGGUUGAAGGUACUUAAGCUAC
rnacentral:lncRNA from 1 species